GAUGAACGCUGGCGGCGUGCCUAAUACAUGCAAGUCGAGCGAACAGACGCGGCUUUUGCUCCUCUGACGUUUGCGGCGGACGGGUGAGUAACACGAGUAAACCCUCCCUUUCUUACUGGUAUAAUUUGGGGAAACCGGCUCUAAUCCCGUAUAAUCUCUUGAUCCGUAUGGUUCAUUGGUAAAAUACGGUUUUUCUGUCUCUACUCGCUGGUUCCCCGCCGCAUUAGCUAGUUGGUACGUAAACGGCUUUCCAGGGCAACGAUGCGUAGCCGACCUGAGAGGGGGAUCGGCGACACGGGAAGUGAGACACGGUCAAGACGACUAAGAGAGGGAGCAGUAGGGAAUGUUACGCAAUGGGCGAAAGCAUGACGGAGCAAGGCCGAGUGAGUGAUGAAGGUCUUGGGAUCGUAAAAAUCUGUUAUUAGGGAAGAACAAAUGUGUAAGUAAAUAUGCACGUAUUGACGGUACCGAAUCAGAAAGCAACGGCUAACUACGUG
rnacentral:rRNA from 1 species